AUUGAACGCUGGCGGCAGGCCUAACACAUGCAAGUCGAGCGGAUGAGUGGAGCUUGCUCCAUGAUUCAGCGGCGGACGGGUGAGUAAUGCCUAGGAAUCUGCCUGGUAGUGGGGGACAACGUUUCGAAAGGAACGCUAAUACCGCAUACGUCCUACGGGAGAAAGUGGGGGAUCUUCGGACCUCACGCUAUCAGAUGAGCCUAGGGCGGAUUAGUUAGUUGGUGAGGUAAAGGCUCACCAAGGCGACGAUCCGUAACUGGUCUGAGAGGAUGAUCAGUCACACUGGAACUGAGACACGGUCCAGACUCCUACGGGAGGCAGCAGUGGGGAAUAUUGGACAAUGGGCGAAAGCCUGAUCCAGCCAUGCCGCGUGUGUGAAGAAGGUCUUCGGAUUGUAAAGCACUUUAAGUUGGGAGGAAGGGCAGUAAGUUAAUACCUUGCUGUUUUGACGUUACCAACAGAAUAAGCACCGGCUAACUUCGUGCCAGCCGCCGCCGUAAUAC
rnacentral:rRNA from 1 species